rnacentral:tRNA from 2 species
UGGGGUGUCGCCAAGUGGUAAGGCAUCGGGUUUUGAUCCCGACAUGCGUAGGUUCGAAUCCUGCCACCCCAGCCA